rnacentral:rRNA from 1 species
UACCUGCAGCUCGAGUGGUAACCGCUAUUAUUGGGCCUAAAGCGUCCGUAGCCGGUUUGGUAAAUAUCUGGGUAAAUCGUGAGGCUUAACUUCACGAAUUUCGGAUAGACUGCCAGACUUGGGAUCGGGGGAGGUCAGAGGUACUCCAGGGGUAGCGGUGAAAUGUUGUAAUCCUUGGAGGACCACCGGUAGCGAAGGCGUCUGACUAGAACGAGUCUGACGGUGAGGGACGAAGCCCUGGGGCGCAAACCGGAUUAGAUACCCGGGUAGUCCAGGGUGUAAACGAUGUGGGCUUUGUAUUGGAGGUCCCACGUGGGCGUCCAGUGCAGAAGAGAAGUUGUUAAGCCCACCGCCUGGGAAGUACGGUCGCAAGGCUGAAACUUAAAGGAAUUGGCGGGGGAGCACAGCAACGGGAGGAGCGUGCGGUUU